rnacentral:tRNA from 1 species
GCUUCGUUGGCUUAGUGGUCAAAGCUUAUCUGACGAGAUGACGGAGGUUCGAAUCCUCCACGAAGCA